CCUGAUUUGGUCAGCGGCGGACGGGUGAGUAACACGUGGGCAACCUGCCCGCAAGACCGGGAUAACUCCGGGAAACCGGAGCUAAUACCGGAUAACACCGAAGACCGCAUGGUCUUCGGUUGAAAGGCGGCCUUUGGCUGUCACUUGCGGAUGGGCCCGCGGCGCAAUAACUAGUUGGUGAGGUAACGGCUCACCAAGGCGACCAUUCGUAACCCGCCUGAAAGGGUGACCGGCCACACUGGGACUGAAACACGGCCCAAACUCCUACGGGAGGCAGCAGUAGGGAAUCUUCCGCAAUGGACGAAAGUCUGACGGAACGACCCCCCGUGAGCGAAGAAAGCCUUCGGGUCCUAAAGCUCUUUUGUGAGGGACGAAAGAACGCCCUUUGAACAAGGCGGCGCGGUGACCGUACCUCACGAGAAAGCCCCGGCUAACUACCUGCCAACAGCCGCGGUAAUACCUAAGGGGCGAACGUUGUCCGGAAUUAUUGGGCGUAAAGCGCGCGCAGGCGGUCCUUUAAGUCUGAUGUGAAAGCCCACGGCUCAACCGUGGAAGGUCAUUGGAAACUGGGGGACUUGAGUGCAGGAAAAGAGAGCGGAAUUCCACGUGUAGCGGUGAAAUGCGUAGAGAUGUGGAGGAACACCAGUGGCGAAAGCCGCUCUCUGGCCUGUAACUGACGCUUAAGCGCGAAAAGCGUGGGGGAGCAAAACAGGGAUUAGGAUACCCCUGGGUAGUCCACGCCCGUAAAACGAUGAGAUGCUAAAGUGUUUAGAAGGGGGUCACACCCCUUUUAGUGGCUG
rnacentral:rRNA from 1 species